CCUACGGGAGGCAGCAGUGAGGAAUAUUGGUCAAUGGACGAGAGUCUGAACCAGCCAAGUAGCGUGAAGGAUGACUGCCCUACGGGUUGUAAACUUCUUUUAUAAAGGAAUAAAAUGAGGCACGUGUGCCUUUUUGCAUGUACUUUAUGAAUAAGGAUCGGCUAACUCCGUGCCAGCAGCCGCGGUAAUACGGAGGAUCCGAGCGUUAUCCGGAUUUAUUGGGUUUAAAGGGAGCGUAGAUGGGUUGUUAAGUCAGUUGUGAAAGUUUGCGGCUCAACCGUAAAAUUGCAAUUGAUACUGGCAGUCUUGAGUACAGUUGAGGUAGGCGGAAUUCGUGGUGUAGCGGUGAAAUGCUUAGAUAUCACGAAGAACUCCGAUUGCGAAGGCAGCUUACUAAACUGCCACUGACAUUGAUGCUCGAAAGUGUGGGUAGCAAACAGGAUUAGAUACCCUGGUAGUC
rnacentral:rRNA from 1 species